rnacentral:rRNA from 1 species
UACGGGAGGCAGCAGUGGGGAAUAUUGCACAAUGGGCGGAAGCCUGAUGCAGCGACGCCGCGUGGGGAUGACGGCCUUCGGGUUGUAAACUCCUUUCGACAGGGACGAAGCUUUUUGUGACGGUACCUGUAUAAGAAGCACCGGCUAACUACGUGCCAGCAGCCGCGGUAAUACGUAGGGUGCGAGCGUUGUCCGGAAUUACUGGGCGUAAAGAGCUCGUAGGUGGUUUGUCGCGUCGUCUGUGAAAUUCCGGGGCUUAACUCCGGGCGUGCAGGCGAUACGGGCAUAACUUGAGUGCUGUAGGGGAGACUGGAAUUCCUGGUGUAGCGGUGAAAUGCGCAGAUAUCAGGAGGAACACCGAUGGCGAAGGCAGGUCUCUGGGCAGUUACUGACGCUGAGGAGCGAAAGCAUGGGUAGCGAACAGGGAUUAGAUACC